rnacentral:misc_RNA from 1 species
GAUGAAGAACGCAGCGAAAUGCGAUAACUAAUGUGAAUUGCAGAAUUCCGUGAAUCAUCGAGUCUUUGAACGCACAUUGCGCCCCCUGGUAUUCCGGGGGGCAUGCCUGUCCGAGCGUCAUUGCUGCCCAUCAAGCACGGCUUGCGUGUUGGGUCCCGUCCCCCUCUCCCGGGGGACGGACCCGAAAGGCAGCGGCGGCACCGCGUCCGGUCCUCGAGCGUAUGGGGCUUUGUCACCCGCUCUUGUAGGCCCGGCCGGCGCUUGCCGACACCCAACCAUUUUUUUCAGGUUGACCUCGGAUCAGGUAGGGAUACCCGCUGAACUUAAGCAUAUCAAUAAGCGGAGGA